AAAACGAUGACCGCAUAUGCAUCGAAAGCGAAGCCUUCAGAGUUGGUAGAUUGUAUCGGUGUCCUUUUUGUGCAAUACAGUACAGAAUACAUUCUGUAUCCAACUAAUGCAGAGUAUAAUCAAGUUGACAACACACUGAUUGUGAAGGACCUUUUCCUGAGUGACAUGGAAGGAAAUUACUAUGAAACUUGUGUUGGGGAGGAUUCAAUGUCUGUUGAGGCCCAUGUGAAUGUGCUACAAAGUGAGUAUCGGAAAACACAUCCAGACAUCUCGACUGUCCAAGACCACAUGGCACGAACAUUCUCCUGGAGACGUUGAGAAAGCAUGGAAGGAAUGUCUGUGGAGGAUGUACUCAAAAAAUACCCAUACUUAAGGACACCUGCUGGAGUGAGUAUAGUAAAAAAAAAAUCAUUAACAUCUUCUGUAUCCUUUUAGCCCGUCUGUUUAAAAUCUUAAAGCAAUGGUUUUAGAAAACAAUGUAAGAUUUAUGAGUCUAUACAAGAACAU
rnacentral:lncRNA from 1 species